rnacentral:rRNA from 1 species
GUCCACGCUGUAAACGAUGAGCACUAGAUGUGCGCGGUAUGACCCCGCGCGUGUCGCAGCUAACGCAAUAAGUGCUCCGCCUGGGGACUACGGUCGCAAGACUAAAACUCAAAGGAAUUGACGGGGGCCCCGCACAAGCGGUGGAGGAUGUGGUUUAAUUCGACGCAACGCGCAGAACCUUACCUGGGCUUGACAUCCCACGACCGCCCCAGAGAUGGGGUUUUCCCCGCAAGGGGACGUGGAGACAGGUGCUGCAUGGCUGUCGU